rnacentral:rRNA from 1 species
GAUGAACGCUAGCGGCAGGCUUAACACAUGCAAGUCGAGGGGUAACAUGAAAAAGCUUGCUUUUCUGAUGACGACCGGCGCACGGGUGCGUAACGCGUAUACAACCUACCUUUUAGCGGGGAAUAGCCCAGGGAAACUUGGAUUAAUGCCUCAUAGUAUAUAAGCUUCUCCUGAAGUUUAUAUUAAACAUUUAUGGCUAUUAGAUGGGUAUGCGUCCUAUUAGUUAGUUGGUAAGGUAACGGCUUACCAAGGCAGCGAUAGGUAGGGGUCCUGAGAGGGAGACUCCCCACACUGGUACUGAGACACGGACCAGACUCCUACGGGAGGCAGCAGUGAGGAAUAUUGGACAAGUGGGCGAGAGCCUGAUCCAGUCAUGCCGCGUGCAGGAAGACUCGCCCUAGUGGGUUAGUAAACUGUCUUUUACAGAGGAAGAACCCACCCCACGUGUGGGGGUUUGACGGUACUCUGCGAAUAAGGAUCGGCUAACUCCGUG